rnacentral:rRNA from 1 species
ACGCUCGACACCUACGGGAGGUAGUAGUGGGGAAUAUUGGGCAAUGGGCGCAAGCCUGACCCAGCAACGCCGCGUGAAGGAAGAAGGCUUUCGGGUUGUAAACUUCUUUUCUCAGGGACGAAGAAAGUGACGGUACCCGAGGAACAAGCCACGGCUAACUACGUGCCCGCAGCCGCGGUAAUCUGAGCGGGCUGGCAAGGC